rnacentral:rRNA from 1 species
UACGGAGGGGACUAGCGUUGUUCGGAAUUACUGGGCGUAAAGCGCACGUAGGCGGAUUGUUAAGUCGGGGGUGAAAUCCCGAGGCUCAACCUCGGAACUGCCUUCGAUACUGGCGAUCUUCGAGUCCGGGAGAGGUGAGUGGAACUCCGAGUGUAGAGGUGAAAUUCGUAGAUAUUCGGAAGAACACCAGUGGCGAAGGCGGCUCACUGGCCCGGUACUGACGCUGAUAUACGAAAGCGUGGGGAGCAAACAGG